CUCAGGGCAGGGUGUAAUUCCCGACCGGCGGUAAACCCCGCGAGCCGUAAGGUUGAAUUGGUGAAAUUCCAAUGGCGACAGUAUAGUCUGGAUGGAAGAGAU
rnacentral:ncRNA from 1 species